rnacentral:rRNA from 1 species
GACGAACGCUGGCGGCGUGCUUAACACAUGCAAGUCGAACGGUAAGGCCCUUCGGGGUACACGAGUGGCGAACGGGUGAGUAACACGUGGGUGAUCUGCCCUGCACUUCGGGAUAAGCCUGGGAAACUGGGUCUAAUACCGGAUAGGACCACUGCCUGCAUGGGUGGUGGGGGAAAGCUUUUGCGGGGUGGGAUGGGCCCGCGGCCUAUCAGCUUGUUGGUGGGGUGAUGGCCUACCAAGGCGACGACGGGUAGCCGGCGUGAGAGGGUGACCGGCCACACUGGGACUGAGAUACGGCCCAGACUCCUGCGGGAGGCAGCAGUGGGGAAUAUUGCACAAUGGGCGCAAGCCUGAUGCAGCGACGCCGCGUGAGGGAUGACGGCCUUCGGGUUGUAAACCUCUUUCAGCACCGACGAAGCGCAAGUGACGGUAGGUGCAGAAGAAGGACCGGCCAACUACGUGCCAGCAGCCGCAGUAA